rnacentral:tRNA from 1 species
AAGUCUGAAAUAAAUUUUAUAUUCAAUUUCGACCUGAAAUUAUGGUUAACCCUAUUAACCCUGACUUA